GGUUGUGGCUCAUUGGUAGAGCACUUGCCUCACAUGUGUGAGGUACUAGGUUCAAUCCUCAGCAUCA
rnacentral:tRNA from 1 species